CCUACGGGAGGCAGCAGUGGGGAAUAUUGCACAAUGGAGGAAACCCUGAUGCAGCGACGCCGCGUGAGUGAAGAAGUAUUUCGGUAUGUAAAGCUCUGUCAGCAGGGAAGAAAAUGACGGUACGUGACUAAGAAGCCCCGGCUAAAUACGUGCCAGCAGCCGCGGGAAUACGUAGGGGGCAAGGGUUAUCCGGAUUUACUGGGGGUAAAGGGAGCGUAGGCGGCUAGGUAAGCCAGAAGUGAAAGCCCGCGGCUGAACUGCGGGGCUGCUUUUGGAACUAUCGAGCUUGAGUGCAGGAGAGGUAAGUGGAAUGCCUAGUGUAGCGGUGAAAUGCGUAGAUAUUAGGAGGAACACCAGUGGCGAAGGCGGCUCACUGGACUGUAAAUGACGCUGAGGCUCGAAAGCGUGGGGAGCAAACAGGAUUAGAUACCCUUGUAGUC
rnacentral:rRNA from 1 species